GGGCGCUGCACCGAAACCUCGAUACAUUCGCUAAAAAUACGGAUCAGCUGUGCCGGUUUAUAAUACGCCGAGUCUGUGAGAAAAUAGGGAAUCUUGCGAGCUAGCAUGACCGGACAGCGUCACAGAACCGUAACGUCUUUGGUACUCCUACUUGUACUCUCGUAUGACGUCACCAUUUCCGUUGCUCAGGAUGUCGUGGAGGUCGAGAACAUUAGACUGAUUGGAGGAAGCAACAGAUACGAAGGAAAUGUGGAGGUGG